AUUGGUACUUGUACCGAUUGGAUGAGUUGCGAACGGGUGAGUAACGCGUAGGUAACCUGCCUGGUAGCGGGGGAUAACUAUUGGAAACGAUAGCUAAUACCGCAUAACAGUUGUGAUUGCAUGAUGACAACUUGAAAGGGGCAAUUGCUCCACUAUCAGAUGGACCUGCGUUGUAUUAGCUAGUUGGUGGGGUAACGGCUCACCAAGGCGACGAUACAUAGCCGACCUGAGAGGGUGAUCGGCCACACUGGGACUGAGACACGGCCCAGACUCCUACGGGAGGCAGCAGUAGGGAAUCUUCGGCAAUGGGGGCAACCCUGACCGAGCAACGCCGCGUGAGUGAAGAAGGUUUUCGGAUCGUAAAGCUCUGUUGUAAGAGAAGAAUUGUAGCAGGAGUGGAAAAUCUGCUACUUGACGGUAUCUUACCAGAAAGGGACGGCUAACUACGUGCCAGCAGCCGCGGUAAUACGUAGGUCCCGAGCGUUAUCCGGAUUUAUUGGGCGUAAAGCGAGCGCAGGCGGUUAGAUAAGUCUGAAGUCAAAGGCUGUGGCUCAACCAUAGUUUGCUUUGGAAACUGUUUAACUUGAGUGCAAGAGGGGAGAGUGGAAUUCCAUGUGUAGCGGUGAAAUGCGUAGAUAUAUGGAGGAACACCUGUGGCGAAAGCGGCUCUCUGGCUUGUAACUGACGCUGAGGCUCGAAAGCGUGGGUAGCGAACAGGAUUAGAUACCCUGGUAGUCCACGCCGUAAACGAUGAGUGCUAGGUGUUAGGCCCUUUCCGGGGCUUAGUGCCGCAGCUAACGCAUUAAGCACUCCGCCUGGGGAGUACGACCGCAAGGUUGAAACUCAAAGGAAUUGACGGGGGCCCGCACAAGCGGUGGAGCAUGUGG
rnacentral:rRNA from 1 species